rnacentral:rRNA from 1 species
AGUGAACGCUGGCGGUAGGCCUAACACAUGCAAGUCGAACGGCAGCACAGUAAGAGCUUGCUCUUACGGGUGGCGAGUGGCGGACGGGUGAGGAAUACAUCGGAAUCUACUUUUUCGUGGGGGAUAACGUAGGGAAACUUACGCUAAUACCGCAUACGACCUACGGGUGAAAGCAGGGGAUCUUCGGACCUUGCGCGAUUGAAUGAGCCGAUGUCGGAUUAGCUAGUUGGCGGGGUAAAGGCCCACCAAGGCGACGAUCCGUAGCUGGUCUGAGAGGAUGAUCAGCGACACUGGAACUGCGACACGGUCCAGACGCCUACGGGAGGCAGCAGUGGGGAAAAUUGGACAAUGGGCGGAAGCCUGAUCCAGCCAUACCGCGUGGGUGAAGAAGGCCUUCGGGUUGUAAAGCCCUUUUGUUGGGAAAGAAAAGCAGCAGGUUAAUACCCCGCUGUUCUGACGGUACCCAAAGAAUAAGCACCGGCUAACUUCGUG